rnacentral:lncRNA from 1 species
UUGAUCCUCCUCCUCAGCCUGUCCUGACCGAAGAAUCAGCCAUGCCUGAUCUCCGACAUCAUAUGCCAGGAACAGAUAUUAAAACCGUCAUUGAAGCUUUGAUGUCAGAACAAAACGCCCUCAGGGAAGAUUUCCACAGCUUGAGACUUGCAGUCCUAGAACACAUGAGCAGCACGGCAAGUCAGUUACGUAUGUUACGGCAUCAUGUUAACUCUUUUGCUCCUCCGGCCAGAGAUCCGAAGAUAGAUGGAAUUUAGUUAUUUUUCUUUCUAAGUUAUUUAGUUUUAGGCUAGAUUUUUUUUUCAUUAAUGUUGUUUGAAUUCAUGUUUAUUUCUAUUUCAUUUCAUUAUUUUCCCUUCCUGUAAUACAUUAUGAUCCUUUUUAUUGAAGCUGUUUAGUUAAUUUUAUUAUGCAACGCCUGUUACGCUCUACUGUUGUUACCCAUUAUUAUUAUACAAAGCAAGUAAGCAUGCACAAUGCAUUAAAAUUGCAUACUAAAAAAUGAUCAUAAGCAAAAUGAAA